GCUGCGGGACAUGCUGGCUGAGUACUGAAUGGCGGCCUGCAGUUCGGACCCAUCUCCGCCACAGGAAAGUGAAAAUAGAAAAAAUUACUCACAUAAAAAUAUGAAAUAGAAGGAAGUGCAAGUUACAGGAGGACUGGAAGACACAACAACACCCAGGAGGCAGUGACAGGUGACGCAAUCACUGACCGCCUCCAGGUCCCUGCUUGAUGACACGGGGCGACAGCUGCGUGGACUGACGGCUUUCAAGUGAAUUAACACUAUCAUGGAGGAACCAGUAACUGAGGAAUACACGUACAUAGUGGUUGGUGGAGGCAUCGCUGGUGUCACCUGUGCUGAGCACCUGUAUAUUCUACAUCCUGAGGCCCAGACACUGGUUCUCACUGCCACGCCGCUCAUCAAGGCUGUCACUAAUGUGCUGCCACUCACCAAAACCCUUGACACGUUUGAGGUGGAAGAGCACGAUCCCAAUACCUUACAGAGCAAGUGCCCAAGCGUGUCUGUGAUACAAGAUUGUGUGGCUCGCCUGGAUGUGGAGAAGCAGCUUGUGCACACCUCAGCUGGCAGGUGCUUUUCCUAUCAAAAAUUGUGUGUCUGCACGGGUGCCACUCCCAAAGUUUUAGCUGAGAGAGGGCCCCAUGUUGUCUGGCUGAGAGACACUGAAUCAGCACAGCAAUUUCAGACACGGAUUAAAGAUGCUAGAAGAAUUAUGAUUGUGGGCAACGGAGGAAUUGCAACAGAAAUGGUCUAUGAGGUUACAGGUGUGGAAAUAAUUUGGGCCAUGAAGGACAAGCACAUGACUGCACACUUCAUUGAUCCAGGAGCAGCAGAGUUCAUGCAGCCUGAACUGAUCAGGGAGAAGGAUGAGGGCCCCACCAUAAGCAAAAGGAGGAAAUACACUGUGGAACAUUCUUCUCAGAUUUCAAGAACAUCAUUAAUUGGAGGAUCACUGGGGCCUGACUGGCACUCUGGACUCAAACUGAAAGGAAAAACUGAGCGCAAAAUCAUCAUGGAAAAAGAAGUUGAAGUGAAGAGGAUCUUUGAGCCAAUGGAAGUCAUGCAGUUAGAAGAAGCAAUAACUCGUUUGAAUUCUGAAGAAGGAGAGUGGCCAGUUUAUGUUGAACUGACAAAUGGGAAGAUUUAUGGCUGUGAUUUCAUUGUAUCAGCAAUAGGAGUGACACCCAACGUCUCAGCUGUUACCACAGGGAAUAAUUUUGCCUUGGGUGAAGAUGGUGGGUUGCUGAUUGAUGAGAAAAUGAGGACAACAGAAAAGAACAUUUUUGCAGCAGGAGAUGUGUGCUCUCCAGGCUGGCAAGUUGCUCCACAUUGGUUUCAAAUGCGCCUUUGGACUCAGGCACGGCAGAUGGGGUCCUAUGCCUCCAAGUGCAUGUGGUCAUCCCUAGCUGGGGAAGAGAUCUACAUGGACUUUUGCUUUGAGUUGUUCUCCCAUGCCACCAAGUUUUUUGGACACAAGGUUAUCCUCUUGGGGCUUUUCAAUGGACAGGGUUUGGACGGAAAGUAUGAAAUUUUACUCCGAUACACACGAGGUAUGGAAUACAUCAAAUGUGUGAUGGUGGAGGGCAGAAUGCAAGGAGCAGUGCUUAUUGGGGAGACAGACAUGGAGGAGACUUUUGAAAACUUAAUCCUCAACCAGAUGGACUUAUCAGAGUAUGGAGAGGACCUCCUUAAUCCAGACAUAGACAUUGAAGACUACUUUGACUGAUGAUUGGCAGAGCAAGUUCAGAGUACUUGUAUGAAGCCAGGAUAGGUUAACCAUGUCAACAGCCUUGAGCCAAUGACUGAAGGCUGAGAAACAAUCUUCAAGAAAUUUACUUACUAUCUGCAAAGAGUGAACAAGAGAAAGAUGAAUCCCACAGUCACUUCCAAGAUGGUCAAGUGAGUUAGGUUGCAUCAUAACAAGAUACUCUGGAAUAAAACUAAAUCCAUCAUCACUACACAUCAGUGAACGACAGUCUCCAUGCAAUGUUACAACUAUAUAAUAAAUGUAUUAUGUGCCAAUUUAAUAAAUUUUCCUAUUCAAGCUCUCGUC